rnacentral:rRNA from 1 species
GACAGCAGUCGCCGCGGUAAUACGAAGGGGGCUAGCGUUGCUCGGAAUUACUGGGCGUAAAGGGAGCGUAGGCGGAUCGUUUAGUCAGGGGUGAAAUCCCGGGGCUCAACCUCGGAACUGCCUUUGAUACUGGCGAUCUUGAGUACGGGAGAGGUGUGUGGAACUCCGAGUGUAGAGGUGAAAUUCGUAGAUAUUCGGAAGAACACCAGUGGCGAAGGCGACACACUGGCCCAUUACUGACGCUGAGGCUCGAAAGCGUGGGGAGCAAACAGGAUUAGAUACCCGGGUAGUCCCUGUCUCUUAUAC